UAGGGAAUCUUCCACAAUGGACGAAAGUCUGAUGGAGCAACGCCGCGUGAGUGAAGAAGGUUUUCGGAUCGUAAAGCUCUGUUGUUGGUGAAGAAGGAUAGAGGCAGUAACUGGUCUUUAUUUGACGGUAAUCAACCAGAAGUCACGGCUAACUACGUGCCAGCAGCCGCGGUAAUACGUAGGUGGCAAGCGUUGUCCGGAUUUAUUGGGCGUAAAGCGAGCGCAGGCAGAAUGAUAAGUCUGAUGUGAAAGCCCACGGCUCAACCGUGGAACUGCAUCGGAAACUGUCAUUCUUGAGUGCAGAAGAGGAGAGUGGAACUCCAUGUGUAGCGGUGGAAUGCGUAGAUAUAUGGAAGAACACCAGUGGCGAAGGCGGCUCUCUGGUCUGCAACUGACGCUGAGGCUCGAAAGCAUGGGUAGCGAACAGGAUUAGAUACCCUGGUAGUCCAUGCCGUAAACGAUGAGCGCUAGGUGUUG
rnacentral:rRNA from 1 species